rnacentral:misc_RNA from 1 species
GCAUUGCAUCCUAUAGUAUAAUUUAUGCUGGCUAUCCUUUAAAUUAAUCCAUAACUGAUUUCUACUAAAUAAGUUAAUCAUCACAAAAGCCACUGAGCCAUAACUAUAUAUAACCAGCUCUUUGGUAAUGUCACUUUCAAAGCAUAGAAUUUGCUGCAGAUUACAUUUAACAGGGCAUGCAAGACUGGUCCCCAAAGAGAGAUCAGUCAAUCUAGCAUUGAUCAAGGUCCGCCAAUUAAAAGUUAAAAGUUCAACAUUCCAUGUUCUCGUGGCGAUGCAUCCGACGCCUGCUAUGAGACCGUCUGGUGCUAUGACUCCGCCUUCUAGGCAGCGAGCUAGAGGCAUGAGGGUGGUGAAUCUCUUCGGUGUUCACUUGAUGUCCGAGUAUGCAAUCAAAUGGGUCUUCGGUUGACUCUAGAGCAACAGCAGCACCAACACCAUUCAUAUUAAUUUGCUUUCUCUCAAGAUUAGUCUUCCUUAGAUCAGUUUUCUCUGAAUGUGAUUUCUUACUGGAAGAGUCAUCACCUUCUACCUCG